rnacentral:rRNA from 1 species
AAUGAACGCUGGCGGCAGGCCUAACACAUGCAAGUCGAACGAGUGGCGGACGGGUGAGUAAUGUCUGGGAAACUGCCUGAUGGAGGGGGAUAAUUACUGGAACCGGUAGCUAAUACCGCAUACCAUCAGAUGUGCCCAGAUGGGAUUAGCUUGUUGGUGGGGUAACGGCUCACCAAGUCGACGAUCCCUAGCUGGUCUGAGAGGAUGACCGGCCACACUGGAAUGGAGACACGGUCCAGACGCCUACGGGAGGCAGCAGUGGGGAAUAUGGCACAAUGGGCGCAAGCCUGAUGCAGCCAUGCCGCGUGUGUGAAGAAGGCCUUCGGGUUGUAAAGUACUGUCAGCGGGGAGGCGUUACCCGAAGAAGAAGCACCGGCUAACUCCGUGCCAGCAGCCGCGGUAAUAC